UACGUAGGUGGCAAGCGUUGUCCGGAUUUACUGGGCGUAAAGAGCGCGCAGGCGGUCGUAUAAGUCGAAUGUGAAAGCCCCCCGGCUCAACUGGGGAGGGUCAUUCGAUACUGUUCGACUCGAAGGCAGGAGAGGGUAGUGGAAUUCCCGGUGUAGUGGUGAAAUGCGUAGAUAUCUGGAGGAACACCGGUGGCGAAGGCGGCAUCCUGGACCGGUAUUGACGCUGAGGCGCGAAAGCUAGGGGAG
rnacentral:rRNA from 1 species